rnacentral:rRNA from 1 species
CCAAUAGCGUAUAUUAAAGUUGUUGCAGUUAAAAAGCUCGUAGUUGAAUUUCGGGAUCAAUAUAUCGGUCGUGCCUUCGGUACGUACUGGUAUCAUUGGUUUCUCCUUUCUGACGAACUAUGAUGUCAUUAAUUUGGUGUUAUGGGGAGUUAGGACUGUUACUUUGAAAAAAUUAGAGUGUUUAAAGCAGGCUUUAGCUUGAAUACAUUAGCAUGGAAUAAUGAAAUAGGACGUUCGAACCUAUUUUGUUGGUUUCUAGGAUCAACGUAAUGAUUAAUAGGGAUAGUUGGGGGCAUUAGUAUUCAAUUGUCAGAGGUGAAAUUCUUGGAUUUAUUGAAGACUAACUACUGCGAAAGCAUUUGCCAAGGAUGUUUUCAUUAAUCAAGAACGAAAGUUAGGGGGAUCGAAGACGAUCAGAUACCGUCGUAGUCUUAACCAUAAACUAUGCCGACUAGGGAUCGGAUGAUGUUAAUUUUUUAAUGACUCAUUCGGCGCCUUACG